UACGUAGGGGGCAAGCGUUGUCCGGAAUUAUUGGGCGUAAAGCGCGUGUAGGCGGCUCGGUAAGUCUGCUGUGAAAGUCCAGGGCCACCACGUGAAUGCCGGUGGAUACUGUCGAGCUCGAGUCCGGAAGAGGCGAGUGGAAUUCCUGGUGUAGCGGUGAAAUGCGCAGAUAUCAGGAGGAACACCAAUGGCGAAGGCAGCUCGCUGGGACGGUACUGACGCUGAGACGCGAAAGCGUGGGGAGCAAACAGG
rnacentral:rRNA from 1 species